rnacentral:rRNA from 1 species
UACGUAGGUAGCAAGCGUUGUUCGGAGUUACUGGGCGUAAAGGGUGUGUAGGCGGUUGGUUAAGUGUGGUGUGAAAUCUCCCGGCUUAACUGGGAGGGUGCGCUACAAACUGUCUGACUAGAGUGUGGGAUGGGUAAGUGGAAUUCCCGGUGUAGCGGUGAAAUGCGCAGAUAUCGGGAAGAACACCAGUGGCGAAGGCGGUCUGCUGGGCCAAGACUGACGCUGAGGCGCGACAGCGUGGGGAGCAAACAGG